CACUCCAGUGGUCUAGUGGUUAGAGUGUCUGUUUUGGAUGCGGGAGGUCAUGGGUUCAAUCCCCGGUUGAGUCA